GACGAACGCUGGCGGCGUGCUUAACACAUGCAAGUCGAACGGAAAGGCCCUGCUUUUGUGGGGUGCUCGAGUGGCGAACGGGUGAGUAACACGUGAGUAACCUGCCCUUGACUUUGGGAUAACUUCAGGAAACUGGGGUUAAUACCGGAUAGGAGCUCCUGCUGCAUGGUGGGGGUUGGAAAGUUUCGGCGGUUGGGGAUGGACUCGCGGCUUAUCAGCUUGUUGGUGGGGUAGUGGCUUACCAAGGCUUUGACGGGUAGCCGGUCUGAGAGGGUGACCGGCCACAUUGGGACUGAGAUACGGCCCAGACUCCUACGGGAGGCAGCAGUGGGGAAUAUUGCACAAUGGGCGGAAGCCUGAUGCAGCAACGCCGCGUGCGGGAUGACGGCCUUCGGGUUGUAAACCGCUUUCGCCUGUGACGAAGCGUGAGUGACGGUAAUGGGUAAAGAAGCACCGGCUAACUACGUG
rnacentral:rRNA from 1 species